GCAUCGUUGGUUCAGGGGUAGAAUCCUGCUUUGCCAUAGCAGGGGCCUGGGUUCAAGUCCCAGACGAUGCA
rnacentral:tRNA from 1 species